rnacentral:rRNA from 1 species
CCUAAGGUAGCGAAAUUCCUUGUCGGGUAAGUUCCGACCUGCACGAAUGGCGUAACGAUGGCCACACUGUCUCCACCCGGGACUCAGUGAAAUUGAAAUCGCUGUGAAGAUGCAGUGUACGCGCGGCUAGACGGAAAGACCCCGUGCACCUUUACUACAGCUUUACACUGGAUUUUGAACAAGCUUGUGCAGGAUAGGUGGGAGGCUUUGAAGCAAUCACGCCAGUGGUUGUGGAGCCACCCUUGAAAUACCACCCUGGCUUGUUUGAGGUUCUAACCUAGACCCGUUAUCCGGGUCAGGGACAGUGUAUGGUGGGUAGUUUGACUGGGGCGGUCUCCUCCCAAAGAGUAACGGAGGAGUGCAAAGGUAACCUCAGCACGGUCGGAAAUCGUGCAAUGAGUGCAAAGGCAUAAGGUUGCUUGACUGCGAGACAGACACGUCGAGCAGGAACGAAAGUUGGUCUUAGUGAUCCGGUGGUUCUGUAUGGAAGGGCCAUCGCUCAACGGAUAAAAGGUACGCCGGGGAUAACAGGCUGAUACCGCCCAAGAGUUCAUAUCGACGGCGGUGUUUGGCACCUCGAUGUCGGCUCAUCACAUCCUGGGGCUGAAGCAGGUCCCAAGGGUAUGGCUGUUCGCCAUUUAAAGUGGUACGCGAGCUGGGUUUAGAACGUCGUGAGACAGUUCGGUCCCUAUCUGCCGUGCGCGUUUGAGAUUUGAGAGGAUCUGCCCUUAGUACGAGAGGACCGGGGUGGACGAACCUCUGGUGUUCCGGUUGUCACGCCAGUGGCACUGCCGGGUAGCUACGUUCGGAAGGGAUAACCGCUGAAAGCAUCUAAGCGGGAAGCCCACCUCAAGAUUAGAUCUCACUUGACCCUCGAGGUCACUGAAGGGCCCUGGAAGACCACCAGGUUGAUAGGCUGGGUGUGGAAGUUCAGUAAUGGAUGAAGCUAACCAGUACUAAUUGCCCGUGAGGCUUGACCAU